GACGAACGCUGGCGGCGCGCCUAACACAUGCAAGUCGAACGGAGCUGCGAGAAGCUUGCUUUUCUUAGCUUAGUGGCGAACGGGUGAGUAACGCGUGAGUAACCUGCCCUGGAGUGGGGGACAACAGUUGGAAACGACUGCUAAUACCGCAUAAGCCCACGAUCCGGCAUCGGAUUGAGGGAAAAGGAUUUAUUCGCUUCAGGAUGGACUCGCGUCCAAUUAGCUAGUUGGUGAGGUAACGGCCCACCAAGGCGACGAUUGGUAGCCGGACUGAGAGGUUGAAUGGCCACAUUGGGACUGAGACACGGCCCAGACUCCUACGGGAGGCAGCAGUGGGGGAUAUUGCACAAUGGGGGAAACCCUGAUGCAGCGACGCCGCGUGGAGGAAGAAGGUUUUCGGAUUGUAAACUCCUGUCGUUAGGGACGAUAAUGACGGUACCUAACAAGAAAGCACCGGCUAACUACGUG
rnacentral:rRNA from 1 species